GGGCCGUUAGCUCAGUCAGGUAGAGCAGCGGACUUUUAAUCCGUUGGUCGCGUGUUCGAUUCACGCACGGCCCACUA
rnacentral:tRNA from 1 species